AGUGAACGCUGGCGGCGUGCUUAACACAUGCAAGUCGAACGAGAACGGGUUAUAGCUUGCUAUAAUUGUCAGCUAAGUGGCGCACGGGUGAGUAAUGUAUAGGUAAUAUGCCUCUUACUAAGGGAUAACAACUGGAAACGUUUGCUAAUACCUUAUACUCCUUAUUAACAUAAUUUAAUAAGGGAAAGAUUUAUUGGUAAGAGAUUAGCCUGUAUUGUAUCAGUUAGUUGGUGGGGUAAUGUCUUACCAAGACUAUGACACAUAACUGGUUUGAGAGGAUGAUCAGUCACACUGGAACUGAGACACGGUCCAGACUCCUACGGGAGGCAGCAGUGGGGAAUAUUGCACAAUGGACGAAAGUCUGAUGCAGCAACGCCGCGUGGAGGAUGACACAUUUCGGUGCGUAAACUCCUUUUAUAUGAGAAGAUAAUGACGGUAUUACAUGAAUAAGCACCGGCUAACUCCGUGCCAGCAGCCGCAGUAA
rnacentral:rRNA from 1 species